CAGUCUGUCGCGCUCUAUGCGUUCAGCACAUAAGUCGAGCUCUCUAGUUUGAAAUAUGCGCUGGCCGCUCUUCGCUUUAUGCUGCCUUGCUGAAGCUGCUGCGCAAAUGGAUAAGUUAUGUAAUCGCAAAAAGAGAGUUUAAGUAAAUGAGCAACAUAAAACGGAAAGGGGGUGUAUGGGAAACGGAAAUGCAUUUUAUAAAGGUUUACAAUUAAAAAAGGUUAAUUGAUGGUGAGAAAUUGAGAGCAAUAAGUGCAAUGAGCAUAUAUUUGUGAGUAAAUAUAAAAAAAUAACUCGUCGAUGACAAUAACUCGGCGGUUUUGGUGCCUAACUGCGUUAAUUGCCAAAUAAUAGUGAGCAGACAUAAACUUUUUGGAAAAUUUGGCAAAAGUGUUUAAAUUUCAUUAGAGUGCGAAGAACUUUUUGUAAAAAACAGAAGUGAUCAUUAUAUAAAAACGUGAACUUAUAUACAUGAAAAUUAAAAACGGAAAUCUGUAUUGAGAAAUCGACUUGUGUCGGUUUUGUUCGGCUUAAAAUUUGACGUAAUUUUUCGCGCAGCAAUCGCUGGACAUUUGAGAGAGCAGAGCAUAACUGGAAACUGAUCAAAACCGAAAUAGUAGUUUGGGUGUAUUGACAUAAAAAGAAGUAAUUGAGAAAGCAGAGUUAACUGUAAUCGAGCCUGUAUAUGUAUGUAUAUUUAUUCUAAAACUGAACAAGCUAAAGAGAUACUUUGCGGCUAUCAAUUAUAGUUUCUAAUUAUCUAUAUGUAAUAUAAAAACACAAUGCUAAUACAACAGCAAAGUGUAAUUGAAUAUAACAACAACUUUGAGAAAUAAAAGCUCAAAAAAAUCACAGAACUUUCAGUAAAAAGUGAGAAAAAACUUAUAAAGUGCUUAUUACUGUUGCGACUACUUCAAUGCACUUCGGUUCGCGAUUUAGAUUGAUCGGUUCGGUUCGCGAUUAAGGUUGAUCGGUUCGGUUCGCGUGCGUGUAAAGCUGUGUAUUCAAAAGGCAAGUACUGUCCAGUGUUGUCAGUUUAAUAAAAGUGUAGUGUUCAUAGAAAAAGUGAGAAAGUAGUGAUAUCAAUUAUUUUAUAAAAAAGUUCAGUCCAAUAUAAAAAUGUGUGGUCUUUUAAAAAUAAAAAUAAAAAUAAAGUGGUAAAUAAUGCAAGUUGAAAUGAUAAAUGUGUGUGUGUGUUUUCAAAAAUAAAAGAGGCAUAGCCCCAAUUGUGUUCGAUUCGUUUCGUAUAAUAAUCGUUAUACCGUUCGUUCUCGUUCUAUAAAAAUUACAGCGUCGUAAAAAAUCCUGGACCAGCUGGAGAAGGCCUCCACUUCAUAGAAAUCGUUUAACGCAUUCUCCACUCAAACACCAGCCGAAAUCUGCUAAGCUUACUCGCAAAUGAAUCAACCAUUCAGCACUUAGCCAUCACGGUUCUGCUCCUUACUGCCGGCAGCUGCUAUUAUUGCAGAAACGCUAACAUGACUACUGCUAUCAACAUAAAUCAGAAGAGAAGAGACAAUACACGCACUUAAAGAGACAUUCCAGAAGAUAUACAUAUGUAUAUAAAUAUCAAUACGAAUAUCUGUAAGCGAAUAAGAAUUGUUGGGAGAACAUAUUAUACUAAACUCUUUGCUCUUUAAAUUGCACUGAGUAUGUCGUGCUCUUUAGUUUGCAAUAUGCGCUGGCCGCUUUUCGCUCUGAAGCCCUGCUGAAGCUACUGCGCAAUUGGUUAAGUUGUAUGCGUUCGUAGUUGUGUCGCUAGCGUUAUGUAAUCGCUCUAAAGAGAGUUUAAGUAAGUGAGCAACAUAAAACGGAAGGAGAGUGUAUGGGAAACGGAAAUGAACUGCAUAAGCGAACUCUAAUACAGAAAGGGGAACGGAAAUGAAUUUUAUAAAAGUUUUACAAUUAAAAAGGGGUAAUGGAGAGGUGAGAAAUUGAGAGCAAUAAGCGCAAUUGGCUUAUAUUUGUAAGCAUUUCCAAGAAAAUGACUAGUCGAUGACAAUAACUCCUCAGUACUGGUGUCCAACAGCGUUAAUUGCUAAACAAUAUUGAGCAGACAUAAACUUUUUUCGAAAUUUUGGCAAAAGUGAUUAAAUUUCAUUAGAUAGUGAAGUGCUUUUUGCAAAAAAUAGAAUAAUUGUGUAAAAACUUAAACUUAUAUAAUUAAUUGGAAAUUAAAAACGGAAAUCUGUAUACAAAAUGAAAGUCGGCUUGUGUCGUUUCCGUUCGUCUUAAAAUGUGUCGUAAUUUUUUGCGCAGCAAACGCUAGACAUAUUUGAGAGAGCAGAGCAGAACUGCGAAACGUUCAAAACAGAAAUAGUGGAGUGGGUGUAAAGAAAUAAAAAGCCGAAGUAAUUGCGAAAUCAAAGUUAACUGUAUGUGAGCAAAUAUAAGUAUGUAUGUAUAUACUAUAUUUCUAAAAUUGAGCAAGCAGAAGAAAUACUCUACAGCUAUCAACGAUAGUUUUUUAUAUUCUAUAAAAGAUUUUUUAAACGCAAUGU